UAUCUUUGGGAAAAAUGCUGCCUGAGACAAGGGGCUAAGUGCUGGAACAAACCAACCCCUUGGCUCCUAUUCAAGCCCUUCCCAAACUGGGGGAAUGUGGAUGGAGAGCACCGAGCCGGGGAAAAAAGCAGCAUUUUCCUCCCUGUUUUGAAUUUCUCCACUCUGCCUGACUUUUUGUUCUUUGUGGAGAAGCAGCAGAGCCACCAGAAGCGCAGGGGCUGAAGGGACGGGAAGAGGAGGAGGAGGAGAAGAGCAUCGGAGGAAGGCAGGGGCCCCUCGGCCAUCGUGACAGGGACAGCCAGCCCGGAGGGAGCCUCGUUGGUGGAUAUGUCCUACGUGAGCUGCGCCUUGCGGGUGGCCGCCCCCCGCUGCCUGGCACCCCCAUGGAGAAACCCCCGGCCCCUGAGCAGC
rnacentral:lncRNA from 1 species